AAGAAAGUUUACUACAAACUAAACCAUAAAAAAAUUACCAUGCUGCGGAUUUUUGCCGCACCUAAGGAAAAUCUCUAUUCAUAUUAUGGAUUUUACUCCCAUCGCAAAAGAUUAUUUAUCUUUUUUAACAUAGAUCACUAUUUCUGUUAGAAUAUUUUUUUUGAACGGACGGCAAGAGAUUUGCUGAAUUUUUAUUAAAAGAGAGAGAAAAAUAAAAAAAAGGUAAAAAACAACUUACAACUCACGACUUAGAAAAACCAACUCUGGAGCGCACAACUAGGAAAGGACAAAAGGAAAAAAAAACCCAAAC
rnacentral:lncRNA from 1 species